UACGUAGGGUGCGAGCGUUAAUCGGAAUUACUGGGCGUAAAGCGUGCGCAGGCGGUUUUGUAAGCCAGAUGUGAAAUCCCCGGGCUUAACCUGGGAAUGGCAUUUGGGACUGCAAGGCUGGAGUGUGGCAGAGGAGACUGGAAUUCCUGGUGUAGCAGUGAAAUGCGUAGAUAUCAGGAGGAACACCGGUGGCGAAGGCGGGUCUCUGGGCAGUGAACUGACGCUGGAGGAGCGAAAGCGUGGGGAGCGAACAGGA
rnacentral:rRNA from 1 species